rnacentral:rRNA from 1 species
UACCAGCACCCCGAGUGGUCGGGACGAUUAUUGGGCCUAAAGCCUCCGUAGCCGGUCAUGCAAGUCCUCCGUUAAAUCCACCUGCUUAACAGAUGGGCUGCGGAGGAUACUACAAGGCUAGGAGGCGGAAGAGGCAAGCGGUACUCAGUGGGUAGGGGUAAAAUCCGUUGAUCCAUUGAAGGCCACCAGUGGCGAAGGCGGCUUGCCAGAACGCACUCGACGGUGAGGGAUGAAAGCUGGGGGAGCAAGCCGG